GAUGAAGAACGCAGCGAAAUGCGAUACGUAAUGUGAAUUGCAGAAUUCAGUGAAUCAUCGAAUCUUUGAACGCACAUUGCGCCCGCUGGUAUUCCGGCGGGCAUGCCUGUUCGAGCGUCAUUUCAACCCUCAAGCCCCCGGGUUUGGUGUUGGGGAUCGGCUCUGCCCUUCUGGGCGGUGCCGCCCCCGAAAUACAUUGGCGGUCUCGCUGCAGCCUCCAUUGCGUAGUAGCUAACACCUCGCAACUGGAACGCGGCGCGGCCAUGCCGUAAAACCCCAACUUCUGAAUGUUGACCUCGGAUCAGGUAGGAAUACCCGCUGAACUUAAGCAUAUCAAUAAGCGGAGA
rnacentral:misc_RNA from 1 species